AGCUUUUUGAAUAUGUGCCGAGAUUUCGUCAGACACCAAACCAUUAGGGUUGAUCAGACUUUCAAAAUAGGUGAAGUU
rnacentral:pre_miRNA from 1 species